rfam:Ciona savignyi cont_40562, whole genome shotgun sequence.
ACUGGGUUGGCCGAGUGGUUAAGGCGUUGGACUUAAGUUCCAAUGGACAACUGUCCGCGUGGGUUCGAACCCCACACCCAGUA